UACGAAGGGGGCUAGCGUUGUUCGGAAUCACUGGGCGUAAAGCGCACGUAGGCGGACGCUUAAGUCAGGGGUGAAAUCCCGAGGCUCAACCUCGGAACUGCCUUUGAUACUGGGUGUCUUGAGUCCGGGAGAGGUGAGUGGAACUGCGAGUGUAGAGGUGAAAUUCGUAGAUAUUCGCAAGAACACCAGUGGCGAAGGCGGCUCACUGGCCCGGAACUGACGCUGAGGUGCGAAAGCGUGGGGAGCGAACGGG
rnacentral:rRNA from 1 species